rnacentral:rRNA from 1 species
GACAGAGGUCCCGAGCGUUAGGCGGAAUCACUGGGCUUAAAGCGUGUGUAGGCGGAUUGGUAAGUACCUUGUGAAAUCCCACGGCUCAACCGUGGAACUGCUUGGUAUACUGCUUAUCUUGGGCCACUUAGGGGUUACCGGAACAAACGGUGGAGCGGUGAAAUGCGUAGAUAUCGUUUGGAACGCUAAUGGUGAAAACAGGUAACUGGGAGUGUGCCGACGCUGAGACACGAAAGCCAGGGGAGCGAACGGG